UACGUAGGGUGCAAGCGUUGUCCGGAAUUAUUGGGCGUAAAGAGCUCGUAGGCGGUCUGUCGCGUCGGCUGUGAAAACCCGGGGCUCAACCCCGGGCCUGCAGUCGGUACGGGCAGACUAAGAGUGCGGUAGGGGAGACUGGAAUUCCUGGUGUAGCGGUGAAAUGCGCAGAUAUCAGGAGGAACACCGAUGGCGAAGGCAGGUCUCUGGGCCGCAACUGACGCUGAGGAGCGAAAGCAUGGGGAGCGAACAGG
rnacentral:rRNA from 1 species